GACGAACGCUAGCGGCAGGCCUAACACAUGCAAGUCGAGGGGUAGAAGGAGCUUGCUCCUUUGAGACCGGCGCACGGGUGCGUAACGCGUAUGCAAUCUACCUUGUACAGGGGAAUAGCCCAGAGAAAUUUGGAUUAAUGCUCCAUAGUAUAUAACCUUCGCAUGUUGGUUAUAUUAAAGUUCCAACGGUACAAGAUGAGCAUGCGUCCCUUUAGCUAGUUGGUAAGGUAACGGCUUACUAAGACGAUGAUGGGUAGGGGUUCUGAGAGGGAGAUCCCCGACACUGGUACUGGGACACGGACCAGACUCCUACGAGCAGCAGCAAUGAGGAGUAUUGGGCAAAGAGCGCAAGACUGAACCAGCGAUGCCGCGUGCAGGAAGACGGUCCUAUGGAUUGUAAACUGCUUUUAUACAGGAAGAAACCCUCCCACGUGUGGGAGCUUGACGGUACUGUAGGAAUAAGGAUCGGCUAACUCCGUG
rnacentral:rRNA from 1 species